rnacentral:rRNA from 1 species
AGAUGAACACUAGCGGGAUGCUUUACACAUGCAAGUCGAACGGCAGCGCGAGAGAGCUUGCUCUCUUGGCGGCGAGUGGCGGACGGGUGAGUAAUAUAUCGGAACGUGCCCAGUAGCGGGGGAUAACUACUCGAAAGAGUGGCUAAUACCGCAUACGCCCUACGGGGGAAAGGGGGGGAUCGCAAGACCUCUCACUAUUGGAGCGGCCGAUAUCGGAUUAGCUAGUUGGUGGGGUAAAGGCUCACCAAGGCAACGAUCCGUAGCUGGUUUGAGAGGACGACCAGCCACACUGGGACUGAGACACGGCCCAGACUCCUACGGGAGGCAGCAGUGGGGAAUUUUGGACAAUGGGGGAAACCCUGAUCCAGCCAUCCCGCGUGUAUGAUGAAGGCCUUCGGGUUGUAAAGUACUUUUGGCAGAGAAGAAAAGGUAUCCCCUAAUACGGGAUACUGCUGACGGUAUCUGCAGAAUAAGCACCGGCUAACUACGUGCCAGCAGCCGCGGUAAUACGUAGGGUGCAAGCGUUAAUCGGAAUUACUGGGCGUAAAGCGUGUGUAGGCGGUUCGGAAAGACGGAUGUGAAAUCCCAGGGCUCAACCUUGGAACUGCAUUUUUAACUGCCGAGCUAGAGUAUGUCAAGGGGGGUAGAAUUCCACGUGUAGCAGUGAACUGCGUAGAUAUGUGGAGGAAUACCGAUGGCGAAGGCAGCCCCUGGGAUAAUACUUGAGGCUCAGACACGAAAGCGUGGGGGAGCAAACCGGGAUUAGAUACCCUGGGUAGUCCACGCCUAACGAUGUCAACUAGCUGUUGGGGCGUUAGGCUUAGUAGCGCAGUUAACGCGUGA